rnacentral:rRNA from 1 species
GGAAAGAGGAGUGGCGGACGGGUGAGUAACACGUGGGUAACCUACCCAUCAGAGGGGGAUAACACUUGGAAACAGGUGCUAAUACCGCAUAACAGUUUAUGCCGCAUGGCAUAAGAGUGAAAGGCGCUUUCGGGUGUCGCUGAUGGAUGGACCCGCGGUGCAUUAGCUAGUUGGUGAGGUAACGGCUCACCAAGGCCACGAUGCAUAGCCGACCUGAGAGGGUGAUCGGCCACACUGGGACUGAGACACGGCCCAGACUCUACGGGAGGCAGCAGUAGGGAAUCUUCGGCAAUGGACGAAAGUCUGACCGAGCAACGCCGCGUGAGUGAAGAAGGUUUUCGGAUCGUAAAACUCUGUUGUUAGAGAAGAACAAGGACGUUAGUAACUGAACGUCCCCUGACGGUAUCUAACCAGAAAGCCACGGCUAACUACGUGCCAGCAGCCGCGGUAAUACGUAGGUGGCAAGCGUUGUCCGGAUUUAUUGGGCGUAAAGCGAGCGCAGGCGGUUUCUUAAGUCUGAUGUGAAAGCCCCCGGCUCAACCGGGGAGGGUCAUUGGAAACUGGGAGACUUGAGUGCAGAAGAGGAGAGUGGAAUUCCAUGUGUAGCGGUGAAAUGCGUAGAUAUAUGGAGGAACACCAGUGGCGAAGGCGGCUCUCUGGUCUGUAACUGACGCUGAGGCUCGAAAGCGUGGGGAGCAAACAGGAUUAGAUACCCUGGUAGUCCACGCCGUAAACGAUGAGUGCUAAGUGUUGGAGGGUUUCCGCCCUUCAGUGCUGCAGCAAACGCAUUAAGCACUCCGCCUGGGGAGUACGACCGCAAGGUUGAAACUCAAAGGAAUUGACGGGGGCCCGACAAGCGGUGGAGCAUGUGUUUAAUUCGAAGCAACGCGAAGAACCUUACCAGGUCUUGACAUCCUUUGACCACUCUAGAGAUAGAGCUUUCCCUUCGGGGACAAAGUGACAGUGGUGCAUGGUUGUCGUCAGCUCGUGUCGUGAGAUGUUGGGUUAAGUCCGCAACGAGCGCAACC